AGAUGACUCUACUUCAGCACUCUUGAUGGAUCUUGGCUUGGGUGAAAAAGAAUUAGAGGAAGUAAAUGAGGUGGAAUUGUUGGAGGAAUACCUAUCAACCACCAAAAUUAUGAAAGAAUUGGAGCAGACAUUGAAAAGAAAGACAGAACUGGCUGAAAAAAUUCAAG